AGCAGCCGCGGUAAUUCCAGCUCCAAUAGCGUAUAUUAAAGUUGUUGCAGUUAAAAAGCUCGUAGUUGAAUUUCGGGGUUAGUAGGUUGGUCAUGCCUCUGGUAUGUACUGGUCUCACUGAUUCCUCCUUCCUGACGAACCUUAAUGCCAUUAAUUUGGUGUUUUGGGAAAUUUGGACUGUUACUUUGAAAAAAUUAGAGUGUUUAAAGCAAGCUAACGCUUGAAUACAUUAGCAUGGAAUAAUGAAAUAGGACGUUCGAUCCUAUUUUGUUGGUUUCUAGGAUUGACGUAAUGAUUAAUAGGGAUAGUUGGGGGCAUUAGUAUUCAAUUGUCAGAGGUGAAAUUCUUGGAUUUAUUGAAGACUAACUACUGCGAAAGCAUUUGCCAAGGAUGUUUUCAUUAAUCAAGAACGAAAGUUAGGGGAUCGAAGACGAUCAGAUACCGUCGUAGUCUUAACCAUAAACUAUGCCGACUAGGGAUCGGAUGAUGUCAAUUUUUUAAUGACUCA
rnacentral:rRNA from 1 species